rnacentral:pre_miRNA from 1 species
CAUGCACCAGUGGGGUCCCUUGGCCUGGCCUGUGGGAUGGAGCCGAAACUGGCUCUCCAACAUCCCUCAAGAGGUCCUGAAUUUUGAGAGGGUGCAGGCCAGGCUGAGGGACCCCACUGGUGCAUG